rnacentral:rRNA from 1 species
GUUUCAGCCGCCGCGGUAAUACAGAGGGUGCAAGCGUUGUUCGGAAUUAUUGGGCGUAAAGCGCGUGUAGGCGGCGGAGCAUGUCGGGUGUGAAAGCCCUCGGCUUAACCGAGGAAGUGCGCCCGAAACUGCUUUGCUGGAGUGCUGGAGAGGGUAGCGGAAUUCCCGGUGUAGAGGUGAAAUUCGUAGAUAUCGGGAGGAACACCAGUGGCGAAGGCGGCUACCUGGACAGACACUGACGCUGAGACGCGAAAGCGUGGGGAGCAAACAGGAUUAGAUACCCUCGUAGUCC